rnacentral:rRNA from 4 species
UUUCCGUAGGUGAACCUGCGGAAGGAUCAUUAAUGAAUUCACUAUGGAGUUGUUGCUGGCCUCUAGGGGCAUGUGCACGCUUCACUAGUCUUUCAACCACCUGUGAACUUUUGAUAGAUCUGUGAAGUCGUCUUUCAAGUCGUCAGACUUGGUUUGCUGGGAUUUAAACGUCUCGGUGUGACAACGCAGUCUAUUUACUUAACACACCCCAAAUGUAUGUCUACGAAUGUCAUUUAAUGGGCCUUGUGCCUAUAAACCAUAAUACAACUUUCAACAACGGAUCUCUUGGCUCUCGCAUCGAUGAAGAACGCAGCGAAAUGCGAUAAGUAAUGUGAAUUGCAGAAUUCAGUGAAUCAUCGAAUCUUUGAACGCACCUUGCGCCCCUUGGUAUUCCGAGGGGCAUGCCUGUUUGAGUGUCAUUAAAUUCUCAAACUCACUUUGGUUUUUUCCAAUUGUGAUGUUUGGAUUGUUGGGGGCUGCUGGCCUUGACAGGUCGGCUCCUCUUAAAUGCAUUAGCAGGACUUCUCAUUGCCUCUGCGCAUGAUGUGAUAAUUAUCACUCAUCAAUAGCACGCAUGAAUAGAGUCCAGCUCUCUAAUCGUCCGCAAGGACAAUUUGACAAUUUGACCUCAAAUCAGGUAGGACUACCCGCUGAACUUAA